rnacentral:rRNA from 1 species
UACGGAGGAUGCAAGCGUUAUCCGGAAUUAUUGGGCGUAAAGCGUCCGCAGGUGGUACAUCAAGUCUGCUGUCAAAGACCGGAGCUCAACUCCGGGCAGGCAGUGGAAACUGGUGAACUAGAGUACGGUAGGGGUAGAGGGAAUUCCCAGUGUAGCGGUGAAAUGCGUAGAGAUUGGGAAGAACACCAGUGGCGAAGGCGCUCUACUGGGCCGUAACUGACACUCAGGGACGAAAGCUAGGGGCGCGAAAUGG